rnacentral:rRNA from 1 species
GACGAACGCUGGCGGCAGGCCUAACACAUGCAAGUCGAACGGAUCCUUCGGGAUUAGUGGCGGACGGGUGAGUAACGCGUGGGAACAUACCCUUUGGUACGGAAUAGCCUCGGGAAACUGGGAGUAAUACCGUAUGUGGUCGAGAGACGAAAGAUUUAUCGCCAAAGGAUUGGCCCGCGUUGGAUUAGGUAGUUGGUGGGGUAAUGGACUACCAAGCCGACGAUCCAUAGCUGGUUUGAGAGGAUGAUCAGCCACACUGGGACUGAGACAAGGCCCAGACGCCUACUGGAGGCAGCAGUGGGGAAUCUUAGACAAUGGGGGAAACCCUGAGCUAGCCAUGCCGCGUGAUCGAUGAAGGCCUUAGGGUUGUAAAGAUCUUUCAGGUGGGAAGAUAAUGACUGUACCACCAGAAGAAGCCCCGGCUAACUCCGUGCCAGCAGCCGCAGUAA